rnacentral:rRNA from 1 species
AGCUGAGGAAAAGAAACCAACAGGGAUUGCCCUAGUAACGGCGAGUGAAGCGGCAACAGCUCAAAUUUGAAAGCUGGCCUUCGGGUCCGCAUUGUAAUUUGUAGAGGAUGCUUUGGGUGAAACGCCAGUCUAAGUUCCUUGGAACAGGACGUCAUAGAGGGUGAGAAUCCCGUAUGUGACUGGAAAUGUUAACCUAUGUAAAGCUCCUUCGACGAGUCGAGUUGUUUGGGAAUGCAGCUCUAAAUGGGAGGUAAAUUUCUUCUAAAGCUAAAUAUUGGCGAGAGACCGAUAGCGCACAAGUAGAGUGAUCGAAAGAUGAAAAGCACUUUGGAAAGAGAGUUAAAAAGCACGUGAAAUUGUUGAAAGGGAAGCGCUUGCAAUCAGACUUGUUUAAACUGUUCGGCCGGUCUUCUGACCGGUUUACUCAGUUUGGACAGGCCAGCAUCAGUUUCGGCGGCCGGAUAAAGGCUCUGGGAAUGUGGCCUUCACUUCGGUGAAGGUGUUAUAGCCCAGGGUGUAAUACGGCCAGCCGGGACUGAGGUCCGCGCUUCGGCUAGGAUGCUGGCGUAAUGGUUGUAAGCGACCCGUCUUGA